rnacentral:rRNA from 1 species
UACGUAGGUGACAAGCGUUGUCCGGAUUUACUGGGCGUAAAGAGCGCGCAGGCGGUCGUUCAAGUCGAGUGUGAAAGCCCCCGGCUCAACUGGGGAGGGUCAUUCGAUACUGAUCGACUCGAAGGCAGGAGAGGGAAGUGGAAUUCCCGGUGUAGUGGUGAAAUGCGUAGAGAUCGGGAGGAAGGCCGGUGGCGAAGGCGGCGCUCUGGAACAUUUCUGACGCUGAGGCUCGAAAGCGUGGGGAGCAAACAGG